AUUGAACGCUGGCGGCAGGCCUAACACAUGCAAGUCGAGCGGAUGAAGUGAGCUUGCUCCUGGAUUCAGCGGCGGACGGGUGAGUAAUGCCUAGGAAUCUGCCUGGUAGUGGGGGAUAACGUCCGGAAACGGGCGCUAAUACCGCAUACGUCCUGAGGGAGAAAGUGGGGGAUCUUCGGACCUCACGCUAUCAGAUGAUCCUAGGUCGGAUUAGCUAGUUGGUGGGGUAAAGGCCUACCAAGGCGACGAUCCGUAACUGGUCUGAGAGGAUGAUCAGUCACACUGGAACUGAGACACGGUCCAGACUCCUACGGGAGGCAGCAGUGGGGAAUAUUGGACAAUGGGCGAAAGCCUGAUCCAGCCAUGCCGCGUGUGUGAAGAAGGUAUUCGGAUUGUAAAGCACUUUAAGUUGGGAGGAAGGGCAGUAAGUUAAUACCUUGCUGUUUUGACGUUACCAACAGAAUAAGCACCGGCUAACUUCGUG
rnacentral:rRNA from 1 species